UACGUAGGGUGCGAGCGUUGUCCGGAAUUAUUGGGCGUAAAGGGCUCGUAGGCGGUUUGUUGCGUCGGCUGUGAAAUCCCGAGGCUCAACCUCGGGUCUGCAGUCGAUACGAGCAAACUAGAGUGUUGCAGGGGAGACUGGAAUUCCUGGUGUAGCGGUGAAAUGCGCAGAUAUCAGGAGGAACACCGGUGGCGAAGGCGGGUCUCUGGGCAGCAACUGACGCUGAGGAGCGAAAGCGUGGGGAGCGAACAGG
rnacentral:rRNA from 1 species